rnacentral:rRNA from 1 species
GUCGGUAAAACUCGUGCCAGCCACCGCGGUUAUACGAGAGGCUCAAGUUGACAGACAACGGCGUAAAGCGUGGUUAAGGAAAAUAUGUAACUAAAGCGGAACCUCCUCCUAGCUGUUAUACGCUUCCGAGGAAGUGAACCCCAACUACGAAAGUGGCUUUAUCCAACCUGAACCCACGAAAGCUAAGAAACAAACUGGGAUUAGAUACCCCACUAUG